rnacentral:piRNA from 1 species
AGGUGUUAUCGAUAGGACAGAUGAAGG